rnacentral:hammerhead_ribozyme from 1 species
AUUCGGCUGACGAUUCCCAAGUAGGACGAAACGCGUGUCUCGGAU